ACGAUGGAGCGCAGUGCUGGUUCGCCCCGUCAGCCAGACGGGGCGUCGUAAGAGGGAACCCGGUGGGAAUCCGGGACUGCCCCGCAGCGGUGAGUGGGAACGACCGCCGUCAAUCAAGCACUGGGCCGGCCACGGCCUGGGAAGCGACGGCCAGUAGGAACGCCCGUCCGGCUCCGGCCGGUCGGAAACAGCCCACGAGUCCGAAGACCUGCCCGCACCGCGCACGCGAC
rnacentral:ncRNA from 2 species